GGCACUCCAGCAUUCCGAUUCAUGCCUAAUCGAUCGAGCUAGGCGUCUGGCCGACUUGCAACCGCCUAGGCGGUCCUAGGCGGACCUGGGCGGUUCUAGCUGGGCGCCGAUUAGGCGUUCUGAAAAUGAUUUUUUUUUUCUUUAGUUAAGGGCUUAAGGCUGAGGUUAAAACGAAAUCGCCGAAAGUUAAUUCCCAAAUCGUGAAACUGCUGCAGCCAUCGAAGCAGGUUCUCCCGCCGGUCGCCAUCGCCAUCGCCACUCCAUCAGUCCAUCGUCAUCGCCUUUCUUCAAGUCUUCAGUGAGUUCAGUCAUCGACUCGUCGCCGUCACCUCUCUUCAAGUCGCCGUUGACUCAUCGCCAUAGCAGUUUGGGUUCAAAGUUUAAAACGACGAAGUCGCCGCUCUCUGGCUCUGUUUUGCCCCCUCUGGCACUCCUCUGUCCUCUGACUCCUCUCUAGCUCCAGCUCCAGCCUCGCCUUCGUCCGAUUGAGAAGUCUUCAAUUUAUGGUAUCGAGCUCGUCAGUCUCACCUUCAAAUCUUCAACUGGUUGCCUUCGAGUUCUUGGUGCGAUUCAGAAAUUGAACUAGAGCUCCCUCAGAGAAAACACACUGCACAAAAACCUGGGAAGCAAGCUUUGCAGAUGCAGAUGCAGAUGCGAACAAAAACAAUGGGCAUAUAUUCUCAAUUCCCUCUCCUGUAGAACCUAUUGCACAUUAAAAAGCCUUCUCAAUUUCAACAAAAUCAACAACGAAUUAGCUAGAUAUCUAGAAAAUUAAAGGAAAAUUCAUUAAGAUAAGAAGCUAUGCAGUUGGAGUCGUUGUAAAUUUGAGCAAAGAGUUAUUUAUGGUUGAUUUAAUGAAAAUGGGAUGGUGUUGGUACCCAGCGGUUCCUGAACGGUUACCGAACGUGGGUGAAAUUGCUUGGAUGUGGUGGUGUUGGAGGCAAGAGUUCUUUGAGUGGUUUUUUUUUAUUUUAUUUUAGUUUUCUAUUUUUUCUUCUAUUUUGUGUUUUACAUUUGUAC